AAAGUACUCCCUCUGUCCCAAAAUUCUUGUCUUAGAUUUGUCUAGAUACGGAUGUAUCAAUUCAAGUAACAUUUUAGUAUUAGAUACAUACAUAUCUAGACAAAUCUAAGACAAGAAUUUUGGGACAAAGGGAGUAGUUG
rfam:Triticum aestivum genome assembly, contig: Triticum_aestivum_CS42_TGACv1_scaffold_129963_2BL